CAGUCGCCGCGGUAAUACGGAGGGUGCAAGCGUUAAUCGGAAUUACUGGGCGUAAAGCGUGCGUAGGCGGUUCGUUAAGUCUGUUGUGAAAGCCCCGGGCUCAACCUGGGAAUGGCAAUGGAUACCGGCGAGCUAGAGUGUGUCAGAGGAUGGUGGAAUUCCCGGUGUAGCGGUGAAAUGCGUAGAGACCGGGAGGAACAUCAGUGGCGAAGGCGGCCAUCUGGGACAACACUGACGCUGAGGCACGAAAGCGUGGGGAGCAAACAGGAUUAGAUACCCCGGUAGUCCCUGUCUCUUAUAC
rnacentral:rRNA from 1 species